CAAAUAUCUAAAUACAACGCCAAAGGCGGCCAGGAAAGCUUUUAUUAUCAGGAAGGUCUGGAACCCAGUAUGCUGCCAUGGGAACAAAACUCUUUAAAUUCAAAUUC